GACGAACGCUGGCGGCGUGCUUAACACAUGCAAGUCGAACGGAAAGGCCCUGCUUUUGUGGGGUGCUCGAGUGGCGAACGGGUGAGUAACACGUGAGUAACCUGCCCUUGACUUUGGGAUAACUUCAGGAAACUGGGGCUAAUACCGGAUAGGAGCUCCUGCUGCAUGGUGGGGGUUGGAAAGUUUCGGCGGUUGGGGAUGGACUCGCGGCUUAUCAGCUUGUUGGUGGGGUAGUGGCUUACCAAGGCUUUGACGGGUAGCCGGCCUGAGAGGGUGACCGGCCACAUUGGGACUGAGAUACGGCCCAGACUCCUACGGGAGGCAGCAGUGGGGAAUAUUGCACAAUGGGCGGAAGCCUGAUGCAGCAACGCCGCGUGCGGGAUGACGGCCUUAGGGUUGUAAACAGCUUUCGCCUGUGACGAAGCGUGAGUGACGGUAAUGGGUAAAGAAGCACCGGCUAACUACGUG
rnacentral:rRNA from 1 species